rnacentral:lncRNA from 1 species
CAGUAGAUGCAUCCACAACACACGAACGACGUGUUUAAAAGUGAGGCAAAUGUGGAAGAAUACGAGCAAUAAUCCUCGAGAUAAGCUUAGGUUAUGGGGACAAGGAAGUCACCGGUGAUGAAGGUUUAGAAUCCCGUGAUAAGCGAAGCGAGGAAAUCAUAGGAGAUGAUGGUGCUGAAUCUGUAAUAAUUGGAGAAGCAGGAGCAGUACGAGGAAUGGAAUAGGGCUCAACGAUAGUGAUAGGAAUGUCGGGAAAAGUGAGAUAACACAUCCUCCACUAAAAAGGUCGGGGAUGAUGGCCACACGCAGCAGGGACGAGACUCACUAAAACUCAUACCGUGAGAAAUAGUCACCCGAUGACCAACCUGAUCCCAACAACAAUAUCUCUUAUGGUCAUUGUUGUAUCCUAUGAACACUCAACAUACUAAGUAGUAAGUUUGGUACAUUGACGAGAGGCAGUAAGGGCACAUCAAACACAACCAAACAAUUGAAGCGCUGAAUAAUCUGGAAACGAUCAAAUAGACUCUCGAAAGGAGAUGACCAUGGUGGAAGUGGAGACAAAUUCAACCCAAAAGUGUGGCGUAAGAGAGGCAGUGACCAUCCAAAAGUGUGGCGGAAGAGAGAGCAGUGACAUUGAACCUAUGAGCCGUCUCAAUAGUUGACGAUGCUUGCCCUCAGCCAUGCCAUUUUUGAGCAUGAGCACCAGGAUAAGAGAACUUAGCAAUGGCACCCUGCUCAACAAGGAUUGAGCGCAACAUCUUGGAGAUUUAUUCUCCACCGAGUCAUCACAGAAUACAAGAAUAGGCGUAGAGAGAUACUAUGUUGGCAAACAGAAGCCACAUCGAAAAGUGUGCCAAAAGUGGUCAUCCGGGGCCAUACAGGAGCAAAUGUCUCAUCGUAGUCAUGACUAUGUUCUCACCACUAGAUGAGCUUUGGAAAGCUCUAGAGAAACAUCAUAGCCUCACCCUUUGAUGUCAUCACAUGCUGCCAUUAUGGAUGAAAAAACGUCAUGAUAAGAAGUCGUCUUGCGAAGAGCACCACAAUAACUAACCAUAGCAGGUGAGCUCGAAAGCCAUAAGUAGGCUGAUCUGGAGCUAUGUGUUGCCAACAGAAGAAUACAUAGUAAUCGAGGGAGUUGACUCAUUAGAAGAAUCCACAACACGCGAACAGUGAGUGUAGUAAAGUCAAGGAAGACGAGCAAAAGAUGGAACAUGAAAAGAGAAACUGCCAAGAGUGCCUCGACUAUCGACAGGUAGGGAAGUUACCAGGAUAAGAGAACUGAGCAAGAGCACCGUGCUCAACAAGGAUUGAAUGCAACAUCUUGGAGAUUUAUUCUCCACCAGAGUCAUCACGGAAUACAAGAAUAGGCGUAGGGAACUUGUUCGUGUGCCUUGGCGUCAAAACGCUUACACAUAUAAGACCUCACUACGAAAGGAAAUAAAGUAUAUCCAGGUGUGUUGAGAGAAGUCAUCUAUAAAUAUAGUACUAGCGAUGACCUCCUUUCGAGGCGAAAGGAGGUGGGCCCCAGACAUUAGAGUGAACAAGGUUGAAAGGGUUGUUGAGACACUGUCUCGCUAUGAGCAUAAGGUAAGUAUAGCUGUUUACCAAGCCGACAACCCAGACAGUUUAGAGACAUCAUCCGAGACUGAUCCAAGAAGACCAUGUCAAACUAAGGAUGCGAGAUGAGAGCCACACAAGUGACCCCAGGCGACGAUGGCACUUCUAAGCAUAAAUGGUAGACAAGGUAACAGAGGUGGAGAGACUAGCGGCUGUAGCAGCAGAGUCACUUGAUCCAGCAUCCUACGUGCCUGUGCGCUCUCCGUUACCCGCCGAUCCGGCUUGGUGUGCUUCUCCUGUUUGCGGGUUGUGUGCCAGCACUUGAUUAAGCACCCCACGUUCUCCUACAGUGCGCCCUUGACCCUGGCUUUAGGUAGCGCCUUGUCCUCGGCUUGCCGUGCAUAAUCCAGGUAUGCGCCAACUGUCCGAGCUCCUGCUCACCAUUGGUGUUGCUCGAGCGUGGGUUCUGGUGUCGCCCAUAAAGGGAACACGGGAUGUGGGAUUGAGACAGUUCACAUAGCAACCCACAGCAAGGCAAAGGAUGCCCAUCCAACUGGCAGGGAGCGGAGGUGGACCCAAAAAGGUGGAUGUUGACUCGAAGGAGUCUCAACAGUACGCUUGUCAGUAAGAGGAGCAAGAAGAUCCUGGAUAUACUUCUCUUAGCAAAUAAAGAAGCCAUCAAAGGUAGACUCAGGGAAGUAGCGACGAGGACCAAGGUCAGACAUAAGAAACUCACUGUGACGAGCCUUCACAAAGGCAAUGUACUUAAGAGUCGUGCAGGAUCAUGAGCACCCGUUGAAAAACGAGCCUUAUUAACCACAGAGACAACACUCAAACCAGUCAUGAGGGGUUUGCUAAAGAGCAUAUAGAGAACGCCGAAGGCGACAAACCAUGCCGGCUGGAAAAGAAUACCCAAGUGGUGGUUACAUGUAGGAUUGUUGACAUCAAGCAGAGAGAGAGAGAGAGAGAGAUAGAUAGAGAGAGAGCCUAUGUUGGCAAACAGAAGCACAUCGAAAAGUGUGCCAACAGUGGUCAUCUGGGCCAUACAGGAGCAAAUGUCUCAUCGUAGUCAUGACUGUAUGUUCUCACCAGUAGACGAGCUUUGUAAAGCUCUAGAGAAACAUCAUAGUCUCACCCUUGUGGGUCUAGUUACAAGUAAUGAGACGAGCAAGAGGAGGAAGGGAAAUGAGAUUCCACUAGCCGACAAGGUGAAGAGCAUUUGAUGCCAUCACAUGCUGCCAUUGUGGAUGAAAAAAAUGUCAUGAUAAGAAGUCUUCUUGUGAAGACCACCGCAAUAACUAACCAUAGCAGUCAAUAGGCAGAAGCGGGCGAGCUCGAAAGCCAUAAGUAGGCUGAUCUGGAGCUAUGUGUUGCCAACAGAAGAAGACAUAGUAGUUGUGGGAGAUGACUCAUUAUAAGAAUCAACAACACGCGAACAAUGAGUGUAGUAAAGUCAAGGAAGAUGAGCAAAAGAAGGAACAUGCAAGACAAACUGCCAAGAGUGCCUCGACUAUCGACUGGCAGGGAAGUUACAUUGACAGUAAAAACAUGAACAUGAGAAUCUAGAUGUGGAAUACCCAAGUGGUGGCUGCACGUAAAACCCCUGACAAAAUUCACCAUUAAAAAAGUCUUUGUUAACAUCAAGCCGAGACGGAGUGACGAAUAAAGGCCGCAACAAGAUGUGUGUGAACAAUUGUCGUAUGGCCCGCAUAAGCUGAAACUCUCAUCGUAAUUAGGACCAUGAUUCUACUGAAAGCCACGAGCCACAAGACGAGCUUUGUAAUGUUCAAGAGAACCAUCAGAACUAGUCUUAACCUUGUAGACGCAUCAAGUAAUGGGACGAACACGAGGAGGAAGGGACACAAUAUCCGAUGUGCUGAUGUGCUCAACAGUAGCAAUAUCCUCUACCAUGGCAAGGCGCUAUUUGGUAUGAAUAACAUCAAGAUAAGAAGUCUGCUCAAGAAAGUGGCGCCAACGUUUCAUAGCCUAAGGCGGUCCACAGGCAAAAGUGGACGAGGUCGCAAGCCAUAAGAAGACCGAGACGGAGAAGAUGGCACAUCAGUAGAUGCAUCCACAACACAUGAACGACGUGUAUAAAAGUGAGGCAAAUGUGGAAGAAUACGAGCAAUAAUCCCCGAGAUAAGCUCAGGUUAGCGAGACAAGGAAGUCACCGAUGAUGAAGGUUUAGAAUCCCGUGAUAAGCGAAGUGAGGAAAUCACAGGAGAUGAUGGUGCUGAAUCUGUAAUAAUUGGAGAAGCAGGAGCAGUACGAGGAAUGGAAUAGGGCUCAACUAUAGUGAUAAGAAUGUCGGGAAAAGUGAGGUAACACAUCCUCCACUAAAAAGGUCGGGGAUGAUGGUCAUACGUAGCAGGGACGAGACUCACUAAAAGUCAUACCGUGAGAAAUAGUCACCCGAUGACCAACCUGAUCCCAACAACAAUAUCUCUUAUGCUCAUUGUUGUAUCCUAGGAACACUCAACAUACUAAGUAGUAAGUUUGGUACAUUGACGAGAGGCAGUAAGGGCACAUCAAACACAACCAAACAAUUGAAGCGCUGAAUAAUCUGGAAACGAUCAAAUAGACUCGGAAGGAGAUGACCAUGGUGGAAGUGGAGACGCAUUCAACCCAAAAGUGUGGCGUAAGAGAGGCAGUGACCAUCCAAAAGUGUGGCGGAAGAGAGAGCAGUGACAUUGAACCUAUGAGCCGUCUCAAUAGUUGACGAUGCUUGCCCUCAGCUAUGCCAUUUCUGAGCAUGAGCACCAGGAUAAGAGAACUGAGCAAGAGCACCCUGCUCAACAAGGAUUGAGCGCAACAUCUUGGAGAUUUAUUCUCCACCGAGUCAUCACAGUAUACAAGAAUAGGCGUAGAGAGAUACUAUGUUGGCAAACGGAAGCCACAUCGAAAAGUGUGGCAAAAGUGGUCAGCUGGGCCAUACAGGAGCAAAUGUCUCAUCGUAGUCAUGACUAUAUGUUCUCACCACUAGAUGAGCUUUGUAAAGCUCUAGAGAAACAUCAUAGCCUCACCCUUUGAUGUCAUCACAUGCUGCCAUUAUGGAUGAGAAAACGUCAUGAUAAGAAGUCGUCUUGCGAAGAGCACCACAAUAACUAACCAUAGCAGUCAAAAGGCAGUAGCAGGCGAGCUCGAAAGCCAUAGUUAGGCUGAUCUGGAGCUAUGUGUUGCCAACAGAAGAAUACAUAGUAAUCGAGGGAGUUGACUCAUUAGAAGAAUCCACAACACGCGAACAGUGAGUGUAGUAAAGUCAAGGAAGACGAGCAAAAGAAGGAACAUGAAAAGAGAAACUGCCAAGAGUGCCUCGACUAUCGACAGGUAGGGAAGUUACCAGGAUAGGAGAACUGAGCAAGAGCACCGUGCUCAACAAGGAUUGAAUGCAACAUCUUGGAGAUUUAUUCUCCACCGGAGUCAUCACGGAAUACAAGAAUAGGCGUAGGGAACUUGGUGUGUGCCAUGGCAUCAAAACGCUUACACAUAUAAGACCUCACUACGAAAGGAAAUAAAGUAUAUCCAGGUGUGUUGAGAGAAGUCAUCUAUAAAUAUAGUACUAGCGAUAACCUCCUUUCGAGGCGAAAGGAGGUGGGUCCCAGACAUCAAAGUGAACAAAGGUUGAAAGGGUUGUUGAGACACUGUCUCGCUAUGAGCAUAAGGUAAGUAUAGCUGUUUAACAAGCCGACAACCCGGACAGUUUGGAGACAUCAUCGGAGACUGAUCCAAGAAGACCAUGUCAAACUAAGGAUGCGAGAUGAGAGCCACACAAGUGACCCCAGGCGACGAUGGCACUUCUAAGCAUAACUGCUAGACAAGGUAACAGAGGUGGAGAGACUAGCGGCUGUAGCAGCAGAGUCACUUGAUCCAGCAUCCUACGUGCCUGUGCGCUCUCCGUUACCCGCCGAUCCGGCUUGGUGUGCUUCUCCUGUUUGCGGGUUGUGUGCCACGCACUUGAUUAAGCACCCCACGUUCUCCUACAGUGCGCCCUUGACCCUGGCUUUAGGUAGCGCCGUGUCCUCGGCUUGCCGUGCAUAAUCCAGGUAUGCGCCAACUGUCCGAGCUCCUGCUCACCAUCGGUGUUGCUCGAGCGUGGGUUCUGGUGUCGCCCAUAAAGGGAACACGGGAUGUGGGAUUGAGACAGUUCACAUAGCAACCCACAGCAAGGCAAAGGAUGCCCAUCCAACUGGCAGGGAGCGGAGGUGGACCCAAAAAGGUGGAUGUUGACUCCAAGGAGUCUCAACAGUACGCUUGUCAGUAAGAGGAGCAAGAAGAUCCUGGAUAUACUUCUCUUAGCAAAUAAAGAAGCCAUCAAAGGUAGACUCAGGGAAGUAGCGAUGAGGACCAAGGUCAGACAUAAGAAACUCACUGUGACGAGCAUUCACAAAGGCAAUGUACUUAAGAGUCGUGCAGGAUCAUGAGCACGCGUUGAAAAACGAGCCUUAUUAACCACAGAGACAACGCUCAAACCAGUCAUGAGGGGUUUGCUAAAGAGCAUAUAGAGAACGCCAAAGGCGACAAACCAUGCCGGCUGGAAAAGAAUACCCAAGUGGUGGCUACAUGUAGGAUUGUUGACAUCAAGCUGAGAGAGAGAGAGAGAGAUAGAUAGAUAGAGAGAGAGAGAGCCUAUGUUGGCAAACAGAAGCACAUCGAAAAGUGUUCCAAAAGUGGUCAUCUGGGCCAUACAGGAGCAAAUGUCUCAUCGUAGUCAUGACUAUGUUCUCACCACUAGACGUGGUUUGUAGAGCUCUAGAGUAACAUCAUAGUCUCACCCUUGUGGGCCUAGUUACAAGUAAUGAGACGAGCAAGAGGAGGAAGGGAAAUGAGAUUCCACCAGCCGGCGAGGUGAAGAGCAUUUGAUGCCAUCACAUGCUGCCAUUGUGGAUGAAAAAAAUGUCAUGAUAAGAAGUCUUCUUGUGAAGAGCACCGCAAUAACUAACCAUAGCAGUCAAUAGGCAGAAGCCGGCGAGCUCGAAAGCCAUAAGUAGGCUGAUCUGGAGCUAUGUGUUGCCAACAGAAGAAGACAUAGUAGUUGAGGGAGAUGACUCAUUAUAAGAAUCCACAACACGCGAACAAUGAGUGUAGUAAAGUCAAGGAAGAUGAGCCUAAGAAGGAACAUGCAAGACAAACUGCCAAGAGUACCUCGACUAUCGACUGGCAGGGAAGUUACAUUGACAGUAAAAACAUGAACAUGAGAAUCUAGAUGUGGAAUACGCAAGUGGUGGCUGCACGUAAAACCCCUGACAAAAUUCACCAUUAAAAAAGUCUUUGUUAACAUCAAGCCGAGACGGAGUGACGAAUAAAGGCCGCAACAAGAUGUGUGUGAACAAUUGUCGUAUGGCCCGCAUGAGCUGAAACUCUCAUCGUAAUUAGGACCAUGAUUCUACUAAAAGCCACGAGCCACAAGACGAGCUUUGUAAUGUUCAAGAGAACCAUCAGAGCGAGUCUUAACCUUGUUGACGCACCAAGUAAUGGGACGAACACGAGGAGGAAGGGACACAAUAUCCGAUGUGCUGAUGUGCUCAACAGUAGCAAUAUCCUCUACCAUGGCAAGGCGCCAUUUGGUAUGAAUAACAUCAAGAUAAGAAGUCUGCUCAAGAAAGUGGCGCCAACGUUUCAUAGCCUAAGGCGGUCCACAGGCAAAAGUGGACGAGGUCGCAAGCAAUAAGAAGGCCGAGACGGAGAAGAUGGCACAUCAGUAGAUGCAUCCACAACACAUGAACGACGUGUUUAAAAGUGAGGCAAAUGUGGAAGAAUACGAGCAAUAAUCCCCGAGAUAAGCUCAGGUUAUGGAGACAAGGAAGUCACCGGUGAUGAAGGUUUAGAAUCCCGUGAUAAGCGAAGUGAGGAAAUCAUAGGAGAUGAUGGUGCUGAAUCUGUAAUAAUUGGAGAAGCAGGAGCAGUACGAGGAAUGGAAUAGGGCUCAACGAUAGUGAUAAGAAUGUCGGGAAAAGUGAGGUAACACAUCCUCCACUAAAAAGGUCGGGGAUGAUGGUCACACGUAGCAGGGACGAGACUCACUAAAAGUCAUACCGUGAGAAAUAGUCACCCGAUGACCAACCUGAUCCCAACAACAAUAUCUCUUAUGCUCAUUGUUGUAUCCUAUGAACACUCAACAUACUAAGUAGUAAGUUUGGUACAUUGACGAGAGGCAGUAAGGGCACAUCAAACACAACCAAACAAUUGAAGCGCUGAAUAAUCUGGAAACGAUCAAAUAGACUCUUGAAAGGAGAUGACCAUGGUGGAAGUGGAGACGCAUUCAACCCAAAG